GCCACAGUAGCUCAGGGGUAGAGCACUCGAUUCGUAAUCGAGCGGUCGUCGGUUCAAUUCCGACCUGUGGCU
rnacentral:tRNA from 1 species